GGGUUGUGAGGUUAAGCGACUAAGCGUACACGGUGGAUGCCCUGGCAGUCAGAGGCGAUGAAGGACGUGCUAAUCUGCGAUAAGCGUCGGUAAGGUGAUAUGAACCGUUAUAACCGGCGAUUUCCGAAUGGGGAAACCCAGUGUGUUUCGACACACUAUCAUUAACUGAAUCCAUAGGUUAAUGAGGCGAACCGGGGGAACUGAAACAUCUAAGUACCCCGAGGAAAAGAAAUCAACCGAGAUUCCCCCAGUAGCGGCGAGCGAACGGGGAGCAGCCCAGAGCCUGAAUCAGUGUGUGUGUUAGUGGAAGCGUCUGGAAAGGCGCGCGAUACAGGGUGACAGCCCCGUACACAAAAAUGCACAUAUUGUGAGCUCGAUGAGUAGGGCGGGACACGUGGUAUCCUGUCUGAAUAUGGGGGGACCAUCCUCCAAGGCUAAAUACUCCUGACUGACCGAUAGUGAACCAGUACCGUGAGGGAAAGGCGAAAAGAACCCCGGCGAGGGGAGUGAAAAAGAACCUGAAACCGUGUACGUACAAGCAGUGGGAGCCUCUUUUAUGGGGUGACUGCGUACCUUUUGUAUAAUGGGUCAGCGACUUAUAUUCUGUAGCAAGGUUAACCGAAUAGGGGAGCCGAAGGGAAACCGAGUCUUAACUGGGCGUUAAGUUGCAGGGUAUAGACCCGAAACCCGGUGAUCUAGCCAUGGGCAGGUUGAAGGUUGGGUAACACUAACUGGAGGACCGAACCGACUAAUGUUGAAAAAUUAGCGGAUGACUUGUGGCUGGGGGUGAAAGGCCAAUCAAACCGGGAGAUAGCUGGUUCUCCCCGAAAGCUAUUUAGGUAGCGCCUCGUGAAUUCAUCUCCGGGGGUAGAGCACUGUUUCGGCAAGGGGGUCAUCCCGACUUACCAACCCGAUGCAAACUGCGAAUACCGGAGAAUGUUAUCACGGGAGACACACGGCGGGUGCUAACGUCCGUCGUGAAGAGGGAAACAACCCAGACCGCCAGCUAAGGUCCCAAAGUCAUGGUUAAGUGGGAAACGAUGUGGGAAGGCCCAGACAGCCAGGAUGUUGGCUUAGAAGCAGCCAUCAUUUAAAGAAAGCGUAAUAGCUCACUGGUCGAGUCGGCCUGCGCGGAAGAUGUAACGGGGCUAAACCAUGCACCGAAGCUGCGGCAGCGACGCUGAUGCGUUGUUGGGUAGGGGAGCGUUCUGUAAGCCUGUGAAGGUGUACUGUGAGGUAUGCUGGAGGUAUCAGAAGUGCGAAUGCUGACAUAAGUAACGAUAAAGCGGGUGAAAAGCCCGCUCGCCGGAAGACCAAGGGUUCCUGUCCAACGUUAAUCGGGGCAGGGUGAGUCGACCCCUAAGGCGAGGCCGAAAGGCGUAGUCGAUGGGAAACAGGUUAAUAUUCCUGUACUUGGUGUUACUGCGAAGGGGGGACGGAGAAGGCUAUGUUGGCCGGGCGACGGUUGUCCCGGUUUAAGCGUGUAGGCUGGUUUUCCAGGCAAAUCCGGAAAAUCAAGGCUGAGGCGUGAUGACGAGGCACUACGGUGCUGAAGCAACAAAUGCCCUGCUUCCAGGAAAAGCCUCUAAGCAUCAGGUAACAUUGAAUCGUACCCCAAACCGACACAGGUGGUCAGGUAGAGAAUACCAAGGCGCUUGAGAGAACUCGGGUGAAGGAACUAGGCAAAAUGGUGCCGUAACUUCGGGAGAAGGCACGCUGAUAUGUAGGUGAAGUCCCUCGCGGAUGGAGCUGAAAUCAGUCGAAGAUACCAGCUGGCUGCAACUGUUUAUUAAAAACACAGCACUGUGCAAACACGAAAGUGGACGUAUACGGUGUGACGCCUGCCCGGUGCCGGAAGGUUAAUUGAUGGGGUCAGCGCAAGCGAAGCUCUUGAUCGAAGCCCCGGUAAACGGCGGCCGUAACUAUAACGGUCCUAAGGUAGCGAAAUUCCUUGUCGGGUAAGUUCCGACCUGCACGAAUGGCGUAAUGAUGGCCAGGCUGUCUCCACCCGAGACUCAGUGAAAUUGAACUCGCUGUGAAGAUGCAGUGUACCCGCGGCAAGACGGAAAGACCCCGUGAACCUUUACUAUAGCUUGACACUGAACAUUGAGCCUUGAUGUGUAGGAUAGGUGGGAGGCUUAGAAGUGUGGACGCCAGUCUGCAUGGAGCCGACCUUGAAAUACCACCCUUUAAUGUUUGAUGUUCUAACGUUGACCCGUGAUCCGGGUUGCGGACAGUGUCUGGUGGGUAGUUUGACUGGGGCGGUCUCCUCCUAAAGAGUAACGGAGGAGCACGAAGGUUGGCUAAUCCUGGUCGGACAUCAGGAGGUUAGUGCAAUGGCAUAAGCCAGCUUGACUGCGAGCGUGACGGCGCGAGCAGGUGCGAAAGCAGGUCAUAGUGAUCCGGUGGUUCUGAAUGGAAGGGCCAUCGCUCAACGGAUAAAAGGUACUCCGGGGAUAACAGGCUGAUACCGCCCAAGAGUUCAUAUCGACGGCGGUGUUUGGCACCUCGAUGUCGGCUCAUCACAUCCUGGGGCUGAAGUAGGUCCCAAGGGUAUGGCUGUUCGCCAUUUAAAGUGGUACGCGAGCUGGGUUUAGAACGUCGUGAGACAGUUCGGUCCCUAUCUGCCGUGGGCGCUGGAGAACUGAGGGGGGCUGCUCCUAGUACGAGAGGACCGGAGUGGACGCAUCACUGGUGUUCGGGUUGUCAUGCCAAUGGCACUGCCCGGUAGCUAAAUGCGGAAGAGAUAAGUGCUGAAAGCAUCUAAGCACGAAACUUGCCCCGAGAUGAGUUCUCCCUGACUCCUUGAGAGUCCUGAAGGAACGUUGAAGACGACGACGUUGAUAGGCCGGGUGUGUAAGCGCAGCGAUGCGUUGAGCUAACCGGUACUAAUGAACCGUGAGGCUUAACCUUACAACGCCGAAG
rnacentral:rRNA from 1 species